rnacentral:rRNA from 1 species
AGCAGCCGCGGUAAUUCCAGCUCCAAUAGCGUAUAUUAAAGUUGCUGCAGUUAAAAAGCUCGUAGUUGAAUUUCGGGACUAAUAUGUCGGUCGUGCCUCGGUACGUACUGGUUUAUUGGUUUCUCCUUUCUGAAGAACCAUGAUGUCAUUUAUUUGGUGUCGUGGGGAACCAGGACUGUUACUUUGAAAAAUUAGAGUGUUUAAAGCAGGCUCACGCUUGAAUACAUUAGCAUGGAAUAAUGAAAUAGGACGUUUGAUUCUAUUUUGUUGGUUUCUAGGAUCGACGUAAUGAUUAAUAGGGAUAGUUGGGGCAUUAGUAUUCAAUUGUCAGAGGUGAAAUUCUUGGAUUUAUUGAAGACUAACUACUGCGAAAGCAUUUUGCCAAGGAUGUUUUCAUUAAUCAAGAACGAAAGUUAAGGGAUCGAAGACGAUCAGAUACCGUCGUAGUCUUAACCAUAAACUAUGCCGAACUAGGGAUCGGAUGAUGUUAAUUUUUAAUG